rnacentral:lncRNA from 1 species
CAGUGGGGGAGGCGACCUAAUUCCCAGAGGAAGGAAUUGGGCCAAAUCCACUCGGGCUAGGGCGGGCCGUAAUGGCUCCCCCGAGGGACAAAUCCUGCCUAGAACCCGUGAGGGUGAAGGGAUGUUAAGAGCUGCUCACAGUGGCUGGGCCCAGAGGAAGGUCACGGGCUGUGAGCGGUAACAGGGCCGGUCGUACGGGGCCGGGCUGUUACA